UGGCACUGUGUACAUGUAAUAUGGCAGGUCGGGGCGAGCCUGGCACUGUAUGUUGUAGGCAAGUUGGGGGCGAGCCUGGCACUGUGUACAUGUAAUAUGGCAAGUUGGGGUGAGCCUGGCACUGUGUACAUGUAAUAUGGCAGGUCGGGGCGAGCCUGGCACUGUAUGUUGUAGGCAAGUUGGGGGCGAGCCUGGCACUGUGUACAUGUAAUAUGGCAAGUUGGGGUGAGCCUGGCACUGUGUACAUGUGGUAUGGUACGUUGGAGUGACAUUGACACUGUGAAUGUUCUGGCAUAGCAAGGUGGGGGUGAGCCUAGCACUAUGUACAUGUAAUAUGGCAGGUUGGGGUGAACCUAGCACUGUGCACAUAUUGUCGUUAAGCUGGUUGUUGUGAGCUUGGCACCAUGUACAUGUGGUAUGGUACGUUGGAGUGACAUUGACACUGUGUAUGUUGUGGCAUAGCAAGGUGGGGUGAGCCUGGCACUGUGUACAUGUAAUAUGGCAGAUUGGGGUGAGCCUGGCACUGUGUAUGUUGUAGGCAAGUUGGGGCGAGCUUGGCACUGUGUACAUGUGGUAUGGUACGUUGGAGUGACAUUGACACUGUGUAUAUUGUGGCAUAGCAAGGUGGGGUGAGCCUGGCACUGUGUACAUUUGGUGUGAGCUUGGCACUGUGUACAUGUGGUAUGGUACGUUGGAGUGACAUUGACACUGGAUAUUGUGGCAUAGCAAGGUGGGGUGAGCCUGGCACUGUGUACAUGUAAUAUGGCAGGUCGGGGUGAGCCUGGCACUGUAUGUUGUAGGCAAGUUGGGGGCGAGCCUGGCACUGUGUACAUGUAAUAUGGCAGGUCGGGGCGAGCCUGGCACUGUAUGUUGUAGGCAAGUUGGGGGCGAGCCUGGCACUGUGUACAUGUAAUAUGGCAAGUUGGGGUGAGCCUGGCACUGUGUAUGUUGUAGGCAAGUUGGGGCGAGCUUGGCACUGUGUACAUGUGGUAUGGUACGUUGGAGUGACAUUGACACUGUGAAUGUUCUGGCAUAGCAAGUUGGGGCGAGCCUAGCACUAUGUACAUGUAAUAUGGCAGGUUGGGGUGAACCUAGCACUGUGCUCAUAUUGUCGUGAGCUUGGCACCAUGUACAUGUGGUAUGGUACGUUGGAGUGACAUUGACACUGUGUAUGUUGUGGCAUAGCAAGGUGGGGUGAGCCUGGCACUGUGUACAUGUAAUAUGGCAGAUUGGGGUGAGCCUGGCACUGUGUAUGUUGUAGGCAAGUUGGGGCAGGCCUGGCACUGUGUACAUGUGGU
rnacentral:lncRNA from 1 species